AGAGAGAGAGAGAGAGAGACAGAGACAGAGACAGAGACAGAGACAGAGAGAGAUUUGGACCCUUGCUGCCGGGUGCAGGAGUUUAGCACCCUUGACUCUAGAUCCGUUUACAUGUCUGAUUCUCCUUCUCGGGAAUGUGUCCCACCAGACUCCCUCCAGCCCUCUGGGAUGGGGAAAGGUCACAUUUCCCACAGGAGCCAUCCUGCAGGAGAAGCAGUUCCUACCUUCCUGUAGGGCUGGGAUCUAUGUGCGAGGCGGGGAAGGGGAGUACCUUCGAUCUGUCAGCCCUAACACUCGGGCCUACGGCCUACACCUUCCGCCCUAUUGGGAGCUGGAGGUGUCGCUCUAGUGCGGGGAACCGCCUGGCCAGGUCUGGACGCUGGCAGAGGUGGGCGGUGGGGAGGAGAGAGGGCUAUGCCAGAACGGCACCCCCCUCCCCUCCCGCAGCCGGUCUGCAAAAUCUAAGACUGAGGCUCCCAUACCCAACAGCCUACCUGGGUGAUCUUUUUUGCAUCUCUUUCUUCGGUCCCCUUCUCCCUGCCUCUACUUCUUUUUUGCACGAACAGGCCCCAGGCCAGGGUGAGGGAUGCAAAAACAUGGCCUUUUGGCCUGAAACUUACGGGCGCGCGCGCGCACACACACACACAUAUCCACUCGGCCACAACUCAACCCCCCGCCCCCACCAUCGCACUGGGCACACGCUCGGGUUCCAGGCACCUUGCCAAGAGCGCGCGAGCACCCUGCGUGGCACACUGGCUGAAGUUCCUGCACGAAGUGGUGGGGGUUGGGUAAGGCGGGAGGGGUGGGCGGCGGUGGACGCCGCCGACUGCCGGCGGUGCGCACAAGUUCAGUGCUCAACUUCCCGCUCUUAACGAGACCCGGGAUCCCUUUGGAGAGGCCCUCGAGAGCUGGCGGCAGGGCUGGGAGUGGCGUGGACUCCUGGAGAUCUGAGAGAUCAGGCACCCCAAUCAAUAGACCUCCGCCUGCACUCCAGGACCAGGCUGCGAGGGACCCGCUGACCUUAGUGCCAGCCAAUGCCCGGAUUUCUUCUCUCCUGCCUUCUGAGAUGGGGAGCUACAUUGAUGUUCACAAGUCAAGUGGAAUGCGAGGGAUAUUUUGGAAAACAAUUGAAAUGCUCACUGAUAAAGGAGAAAAACAAGCUAGCUGUGAGUUUGUUAAGGCACAUUGUCUAAUGCAACCGUACAAUGCUGGGAAACACUUGGCUCAGCCAAUCUUCCUUAAUGUGUAUUAGGAAAUAUUUUAUAUUCUAAUGUGGCAAAUUGAAAUAAUUUACUACAAAUUAUUGGUGUAUAAUAACGUAUGAAUAGCAAUCUUAUGUACUAGACAUUAUGGACAACGUUGCUACAGAGAGGCCAGAAAAUUUCCCAAUAAAAGGCAGUUGUUACAAAAGAA